rnacentral:rRNA from 1 species
AAUAGAUACCCGGGUAGUCUACGCCGUAAACGAUGGAUGCUAGCUGUAUUCGGUAUCGACCCCGGAUGUAGCGAAGCUAACGCGUUAAGCAUCCCGCCUGUGGAGUACGGUCGCAAGACUAAAACAUAAAGGAAUUGACGGGGACCCGCACAAGCGGUGGAGCGUGUUGUUUAAUUCGAUGGUAAGCGAAGAACCUUACCCAGGUUUGACAUCCUUGGAAUUUCUGCGAAAGCAGAGAGUGCUUUAUUGAGCCAAGUGACAGGUGAUGCAUGGCCGUCGUCAGCUCGUGUCGUGAGAUGUUUGGUUAAGUCCAUUAACGAGCGCAACCCUUGUAGUUAGUUGAAUUUUUCUAGCUAGACUGCCCCGGUAACGGGGAGGAAGGAGGGGAUGAUGUCAGGUCAGUAUUUCCCUUACAUCUGGGGUCUACAAACACGCUACAAUGGCCGGUACAAAGGGCAGCCAACCCCGGCGAGGGGGUAGCAAAUCCCGAUCAAAGCCGGUCUCAGUUCGGAUAGCAGGCUGAAACUCGCCUGCUUGAAG